CCUGGACGCUCUCUGUGGUUUCUGAUGUCCGCCAUUACCUCGCUUCGCCUGAACUUCUGAUAGGAAAAUCGUCUGUUCUUCAAGUCAACUCAUUUAAAAAAGGUUUGCUGCUGUUUCCUGUAGCGGUCUGACAUUGUAGCCAUAUUGCUGAAUUUGCACUUUGCAGACAGUGUUUCAAAGCCUCUCAGACCAGGAAGGCAACACGUCAAACAUGGCAAAGCAACUUUCAGACAGACACGCCAAACU